CCUACGGGAGGCAGCAGUGGGGAAUAUUGGGCAAUGGGCGCAAGCCUGACCCAGCAAUGCCGCGUGAAGGAAGAAGGCUUUCGGGUUGUAAACUUCUUUGACAGGGGAAGAGGAGAAGACGGUUCACAGAAAACAAGCCACGGCUAACUACGUGCCAGCAGCCGCGGUAACACGUAGGGGGCAAGCGUUGUCCGGAUUUACUGGGAGUAAAGGGCGUGUAGCCGGGAACGCAAGUCAGAUGUGAAAUCUGGAGGCUCAACCUCCAAAUUGCCUUUGAAACUGUGUUUCUUGAGUACUGGAGAGGCAGACGGAAUUCCUUGUGUAGCGGUGAAAGGCGUAGAUAUAAGGAGGAACACCAGUGGCGAAGGCGGUCUGCUGGACAGCAACUGACGGUGAGGCGCGAAAGCGUGGGGAGCAAACAGGAUUAGAUACCCGGGUAGUC
rnacentral:rRNA from 1 species